UUUAACCACUCACAUUGACAUAGUCAAUAACCAACACAUAACCAUAACAAAACCGAAUCUUCAUCAAGCUUUUUUCCAUCCCAAUAUAACCCAAAGUCAAGAGUAAGAAAAUAAAUUUUACAUUACAAGAAAGAAACUCAAGCACAAAAAAUAAAUUUUGUUAACAUCUAAUGUAUAGACUCGAGGAAAAAAAAAUGUCCAGGAAAGUGAAAUCGAAGUUCCAAAAGUUGUCUACCAAGCACGGCCAUCAUUUUGAAUCACCUUCACCUACAAAACGUGGUAACUUAAAUUAUAUUUCAUUGUAAAGAUAUGAUCAAAUGCGAUGCAAAAUAAUAAAAUUACCUUACGUAAACACAUAAAAUGACUUAUUUAUCUUUGAUGUUGGAAUCUUCAUCCAUUUUCGAUACUUCCGAAAGAUCUAAAAAAUAAAAUGAUUCAAUUAGUAGUAAAUGAAUUUGAAACACGUGUAAAUAACACACUUAAUGAAAUAGUUAAUUAAUAAUUACCUUCAUCCUAUUUAUUAUAAUACUCUACAUCCUCCAUGUAAAAUUUGUCUUCGCUUGGAGUAGAUUUGAGCCAAUUUUGAGUGCAAACUAAAAUCUCGACCAUCUUAGCAGUUAAAGAACUACGAAAUGGGUCUAGAAUUCUUCCCCCCAUAUUGAAAGCACUUUUUGAAGCCACCGUAGACACUUGAAUUGCCAACACAUCUUUUGUAAGUUUGGACAAUGUUUUAUACUUACUUCUAUGUACCUUCCACCAAUGAAGGACAUCAAACUCCACCUUCUCUAUAUCUUCACAAGUAUCCAAUAAAUAUCUUUUCAAGUCAUUUUUUAUCUCAAUUGAAUCUUUUACUGCUUGUUCCUUAAACUUGGAAAUACGAGUAGAAGAUGCAGUACAAGUGGAACUGACUUGACUUGUAGAAGAUGACCCACUUGUAGAUGUAUCCAUCGAUACUUGACUGCUUUGUGGACUUCCCUCAUAUAUCACAUACCAGUCAUAAAAUAGAAAACAAAUUUUCGUUCAAUGUUUGGGUCAUUGUACUAGCCAUUUUUUUUAAUUAUAAAUAUCACAAAAACAAUACUGAACAUAAUCCAAUUUAUACAUGGU
rnacentral:lncRNA from 1 species